GACGAAGGAUGCAAGCGUUAUCCGGAUUCAUUGGGUUUAAAGGGAGCGUAGGUGGACUGAUAAGUCAGUGGAUGAAAGCCGGUCGCUUAACGAUCGAAUUGCCAUUGAUACUGUUGGUCUUGAGUACAGAUGCUGUGGGCGGAAUAUGACAUGUAGUGGUGAAAUACAUAGAGAUGUCAUAGAACACCGAUUGCGAAGGCAGCUCACAAAACUGUAACUGACACUGAGGCUCGAAAGUGCGGGGAUCAAACAGG
rnacentral:rRNA from 1 species